rnacentral:rRNA from 1 species
UACAGAGGUCUCAAGCGUUGUUCGGAUUCAUUGGGCGUAAAGGGCGCGUAGGCGGCCGCCUAAGUCAGACGUGAAAUCCCUCGGCUCAACCGGGGAACUGCGUCUGAUACUGGGUGGCUUGAAUUCGGGAGAGGGAUGCGGAAUUCCAGGUGUAGCGGUGAAAUGCGUAGAUAUCUGGAGGAACACCGGUGGCGAAGGCGGCAUCCUGGACCGAGAUUGACGCUGAGGCGCGAAAGCCAGGGGAGCAAACGGG